UGGAAAUGUAUUGAGCUGGAAAUGAAUUGAAAAACAAAAUAUAGUCUAUUUGAUCAGCUCAUAAAAAUGGAUCUCCCUGGGAGGGGGUAGUAAAACACAUUAUAAGUUCUGUUGGGCUGAAUAUUUCCAGGCUGUACUUAAAGUAUCAGCCUGCCUGAUGUUGAUAACAUUAUGUCUUUGGCUGGUUUUCAAGAUUUCGACCUUCUCUGUUGUGGAUAGGGCCUUACGGUCAGAAAUGUUUCUCACAACUUGUGCAUUUUGCCAGAAGAUUUCAGUGUUCUUCUCAAAAGUCCUUAGGGCUAAGGCAGUAUUGAGGUUACCUUUGGAUAUGUUGUCCUUGUGUUCUGCAAUUCGGUCC
rnacentral:lncRNA from 1 species